GAGUUUGAUCUUGGCUCAGAUUGAACGCUGGCGGCAUGCUUUACACAUGCAAGUCGAGCGGCAGCGCGGGGCAACCUGGCGGCGAGCGGCGAACGGGUGAGUAAUGCAUCGGAACGUGUCCGGGAGUGGGGGAUAACGCCGCGAAAGCGGCGCUAAUACCGCAUAUGCUCUUUGGAGGAAAGCGGGGGACUCGCAAGGGCCUCGCGCUCGCGGAGCGGCCGAUGUCCGAUUAGCUGGUUGGUGGGGUAACGGCCUACCAAGGCGACGAUCGGUAGCUGGUCUGAGAGGAUGAUCAGCCACACUGGGACUGAGACACGGCCCAGACUCCUACGGGAGGCAGCAGUGGGGAAUUUUGGGACAAUGGGGGCAACCCUGAUCCAGCCAUGCCGCGUGCGGGAAGAAGGCCUCGG
rnacentral:rRNA from 1 species